CCUACGGGAGGCUGCAGUGAGGAAUAUUGGACAAUGGGCGCAAGCCUGAUCCAGCCAUGCCGCGUGCAGGAUGACGGUCUAUGGAUUGUAAACUGCUUUUGUACAGGAAGCGGUACUGUAAGAAUAAGGAUCGGCUAACUCCGUGCCAGCAGCCGCGGUAAUACGGAGGAUCCAAGCGUUAUCCGGAAUCAUUGGGUUUAAAGGGUCCGUAGGCGGUCUGGUAAGUCAGUGGUGAAAGCCCAUCGCUCAACGGUGGAACGGCCAUUGAUACUGCCAGACUUGAAUUACUAGGAAGCAACUAGAAUAUGUAGUGUAGCGGUGAAAUGCUUAGAUAUUACAUGGAAUACCAAUUGCGAAGGCAGGUUGCUACUAGUUAUUGACGCUGAUGGACGAAAGCGUGGGUAGCGAACAGGAUUAGAUACCCCAGUAGUC
rnacentral:rRNA from 1 species